GGGCCACAGCUCAAUGGAAGAGCAACUGUUUUGAGUGCAGAAGGUCCUGGGUUCCAUUCCUAGCAUCUCCA